GUGGCCGCGCACGCGCUCUGCGCGCUGGCGUCACUUAGCAACGGCUCAACCGUGGGCCAGUAGAACCCAGGACGCCAGGGCCCCAGGUCGCCUCAGGCGGGGGUCUUGCGGCGUGUUUCCCCAGGUCGGAGCCACUGCCCCUCCAGUACUGGGCCCUGAGGGUGUGGCCGCCCUGCCGACACCUGGCUCAGGGUGAGGCACGUCAUCACACGUCACUGAAUAGCGUCAUCGGUCGCGUCACUGCGUAAGGGGACGAGCCGGAGCGCCGGUUGGAGAAAGCCUCGUCUUUCUGCACUUAGUCGCUUGCCUGAUGGACAGUCAGCUACGUGCGAGAAGUUGGACGAGGAGAAUGGGCCAAGAGAGGCAUUACCAGCAUGAAGGUGCUACGAGGCCAGGCCUGAAAUACCACGACUCAGUUUCCUCCUUCUGUCAGUGGGAAGACGGAUACCCGACUUGCCUGCGCUAGAAAGGUGUCAACUUAGGACGAAAUAAUGCAUGCGAGGCUGCGGGCGAACUGAUCUCAUUCGAACUCCUUAUUUCAAGACCCUGACAGAAAGCCCGGACAUAAGUCCUCGACACUCCAGGACUACCAAGUGUAACGUAUAAAGCCCAUUAGACUCCAUCUUUCACAUAAGAAGCAGGCACUGUGAACUUUGAAGCCGUAGAAAUUGGGUUGUAGGUCUUUCCUGGCCGAAACUGGAGAGUCGUCACUCUUGAAAGUUACUUACCUGGGUGUGUGGGUUUGAAGAUGGAAGACUUAAUUCCAAGCAAAGACGACUUAAAUGGGCAGUGAAAAUGAACAGACACAGCAAGGGUUAGGGCUGGGCCAGUGAAGGAUCAGAGCCACAACCUAGACUCUGGCGGUGGGGAUGGAAACGCGGAGGCCAGCUCUGAGCGGGGGAAUGAAUAGGUAGGCCAGGUUUCUAGCGUGGUUGCUGAGACAGGUGGGAGUAACAUUUAGCAAGACGGAAAGAAAGCUGCCUUUGUGUGUCAGUUACUAAAUGGUAGUGACAUUCCUUACGGAUGACAUGGUAGAACGAUGGAAUGUGGAUACGUUGGUUGGGGAAACAUUCUCCGCUCUCAUCUUCCAUGUGGAACGAUAUCCAUCAAUUUAAUACAUCUACUUUCCGAUACACGUGUCCCCAAUUUAUUUGUCCUUGGAGAAUUGACUUCGGGAUUGGUACAUUUAAAAAAACAAAGGGAGCCGGGCGGUGGUGGCGCAUGCCUUUAAUCCCAGCACUCUGGAGGCAGAGGCAGGUGGAUUUCUGAGUUUGAGGCCAGCCUGGUCUACAGAGUGAGUUCCAGGACAGCCAGAGCUAUACAGAGAAACCCUGUCUCAGAAAAACCAAAAAAAUAAAAAGGGGGGGGGGGCAAACUGAAGUGGGAGAUCUUUGAAGAAACAGAGCAAACCCUAGAGUUUAACAUUAGGAAACUGCCCACAGGUGAUACCCAAUUCCAGCUUUGUUGUGUUUUAUAGAAUAAUGUUUCCCACCAAGACCCAUGCCCCCAUCACCAUAAUCUGCUGAUCUGUUCUGGAAAGUGACAGAAGGAAGUUGCAGACCUGGUUCAGUAAAAGUUAUGAAGAGAUUGCUCUGAUGCUGCCCCGCUGGGCUAGGGACAAGAGCAACAGAGUCAGAAAAAAAGCUUAUGAGAGAAGCAGGGGAGACUGCUUUGAAGCUACUGCCAGUCAGCCUUAAAAACGGAACAAAGGACUACAGGCAGCCUAUAGAAGCUAGAAAGGGCAAGCGACUGGGUUCUUGAAUCUAGGGCUUGAUCUCUAGAAGUGUAACAAGAAUUGGUAUAAGCCACACAGUUUCUACUAACUUGUCACAACAGCUGUAAGAAACUAGUACAGCUGAGAAUAAAGACAACAGCUUCCCCGUGUAUUCCUGGCUUCCCGGUUUAUCUAGGAAAAGAGAGGACCAUUGAUCAAGCUGCCUCACAGACUGAGCACUGUGACUACGGUCUGAUGGAGGGGUCCUCCAGGUUUAGAGGAAAAUAUCAAAUUACCCAGGUCCGUGACUGAUGAGAGAAGCUGAGGUUUGAAGGACAUUAAGCCUAGGCAUGGAUGAGAUCAAUCAAAGAAGAAAAAACCAAAAACCUAACCUCCACUUCUAGGUUAGAUUCAGCUGCUGAUAACAGCAACCAUUAACAAAUCCAACUAAUUUCACCAAACACUUGAGAACUAAUAUAAAAUGUGCCGAGCUCUGUCCAGACAAUUAUGACUAUCACUCAGUAUAAGGGUAAAACAGCUAAUAGACCAAGGUUUAGAGCCAGGACAGGCAGUACCUUCCUAGGAACUUAGAAGUACUGAAUUGAUGUAAAUGCUCUUUCUCCAUACUGUUAAUAUACUAUCCAUGCAUUACAUCAUUUACUCAGUAAUGCUGAUUACCACAUGCCAGGUACACGGUUCCUAUACCUGUGCUGCCUGUGUUUCAAUAUGGUGUAGGCAUUACUAGCUCAUAUAGGUCUUGUAAUGGCCUUUCAGGUACAUAUUACAUUAUAAGUACUAAUUAUAAUGCAUAUAAAUAAAAAAGCUACAUCACAGAAAGCUUACAUAAUUACUCAAGAUCACAAAAUUAGUAAGAGAGCCAAGUUCCCAAUACUACAAUCCUGGAACUGUACCCAUUCAUACCAUGUACUCCCGGAUCACUGGGAGGGGUGCUAGAAAACAUGGCUUACAGAACACAGCAAUGUUUGUGUUACAGGGCUUCUGUGUAUGAUCCCACUCCACUCUUUACAUGAACACCAGAGAAUUCUUUCCGAAUUGGAAGUUACAAGUCUGUUAACCACCCAUGAUAACCACUGUGUCUGUGAUGUGAGUUAUAUAACUGAAUUGUAUAACCAUGCUUCCUUCCCUCUUCAUGUCCCCACCCUAAAGCCCUGAAGAAAUGUUUUCACUUGGCGUUUGGAACUGAGUGGAUUGGUGUGCAUGUCUCUCUGCAUUGGUCUGCUAGUCUCCCAUCAACAUCUUAACAAAAAACAUCUAAGACAACCAUGUUUGUUCCAGCUCAUGGUACUAGAGGUUUCAGUGUGGUAACGGCUGGCUCCUUUGUUUUAGGCCUGUGAAGUGACAGAGUGCACGUAGGAGCAAAAUCACUUACCUCAUGACCAGGAAGCCAAAUGAAAACAAAAAAGGCAGGAUCCUACAAGCCCCUUCAAGGACUCACUUUUUAAUGACUUAAGGUGCACCCACUAGGCCUCACAUCGUGAAGGCUCCACUACCUCCGAAUGAUGCUCCUCAUUUUUAAAAAGAAUGUCAUGGGGCCAGCCAUAUGGCUCAGGAGAUAUAAGCACUUGCUCUUUAGCCUGAUGAGCUGAGUUCUGUCCCAGGGAACCCACAUGGUGUUGAGAACAUGCAUAUAGCACACAAAAAAUAGGGUUUCAGAAGUUGUCCUCUGGGGGGCUGGAGAGAUGGCUCAGUGAUUAAGAACACUGACUGGCCGGGCAUGGUGGCGCACGCCUUAGAUCCCAGCACUCGGGAGGCAGAGGCAGGCGGAUCUCUGAGUUCCAGGCCAGCCUGGUCUACAGAGUGAGUUCCAGGACAGCCAGAGCUAUACAGAGAAACCCUGUCUCGAAAAACUCAAAAACAAAACAAACAAACAAACACUGACUGCUCUUCCAGAGGUCCUGAGUUCAAUUCAAUUCCCAGCAACCACAUGGUGGCUCACAACCAUCUGCAAUGGCAUCUGAUGUCCUCUUCUGGUGUGUCUGAAGACAGCUACAGUGUACUCCUAUACAUGAAAUAAUAAAUCUUUAAAAAAUUAAGUUUUCUUCUGACCUCCAAACAUGAGCUGUGGCACAAACAUGGACAUAUACACACAGAAUUUUUUAAAUAUUUGUAACUUUUAUUUCCCACAGAUUCUGGGUAAGAACUGGUUCCAAGUUUGAUGACUUGGGAAGUCCAGAUAGACCAGAAAGCAUUUCAAGUUAACAUAAAAGAGCCAAGUUGUGGUCUUGUGUGUGUGUGUGUAAAAUAUAUAACAUGGGUUCUUUAGACACAUACUCCUCAUGCCUUAGAAAAAAGAAAGUCUGCUUUCCUAUAUGCUGAUAUUUUGUUAUGAUGGAGUUUAAUAUUUGUAGUUGGCCUUGUCAGUAAGAAUACAUGUAAUUGCAAAACUACAAGUACAUGUUUUUAAGUUUAAUUGGCUUAAAUCCAGUAACUAAUACCAGGCUAGUCUCCUGUUUGUUUCGUUUGUGAGGCAGGGCCUCACUAUGUAGCCCUGGCUGUCCUUGAACUCCCAGAGAUCUGCCUGCCUUCUGGGUUCUGAGAUUAAAGGAAUUGUGCCAUCAUGCCCUGCCUAAGGCUCAUUUCUUUACUGAGGGAUAUACUUUUCAUGCAAUACUUCUAGAUAAUCAGUCACUUUGCAAAUAGCCAUACAUCCCAUAAAAGCCUGUUCAGAUUUCCUUAUAGUCUGGAGUGAGCAAGGCAGCAGGAGCGAUGGAUCAGCUUUUGCAGAGGAUCUGAGUUUGCUUCCCAAUGCUCAUGGAGCAACUCACUGCCUGAAACACUGGCUCUGGGGGAUCCCACGCCCUCUUCUGCACACAGAACUUCUUUACACACAUACCCACAUGGAGACACACACACACACAUACACACAUACUAAUGUGCUAAUUUGUUCACUAAUACUUUCUGGAAAAAAAUGUAAUCCAAAUCUUUCAUCAUUCUCCAACAGAGCAUUUCAGUGCUUAAAUAGCUCAGGCAGAUGGAUAAUGUUCUGUACCCCAUUUAGCAGAUUUCUGCCAUGUGCUAUAAUAGAAGCACCCAGCAUCAUCAGGCUUAAAAUCUAUCAUUCUCUAAGUAUUGACAACUAAUGUGAACUUUAAAGAAAAGGAAAAAUAAUGUGUACUUUUACAGACAUUCUGCUCUGCUGGAUCAAACUUGAUGAUCUUGAACACUUUUUCUUAUCUUUGGAAAGCUGGUUUUAUGAAAAUUCCUAGAUUGCCUGUGUGCCACCCUCCACAGCUACCACUAUAGAGACAGGAAUGGUCACAUGGGGUGACUCACUUCACAAAAAGCUGCCAACCCCCACCAGUCUGCCAAAAUAUUACUGAAUUCUGAACAGUGUGUACCUGUCUAGCCAGGCACACAAUGCUAGCUGGUCCCACGGAAAACAUGCUCGCCCAUAUUGCCCUGAGCCCACACUUGCCAACCUUCCCCCACCUACCUUCCACGAGUGUUGCACCAACGUGUCAAGCAUCGUGCCUCCGCAGAAGGAACAGCUUCCCAGAAACCUAUGAGUGUCUUUCCUGUAUGACUUAUGCUGCACUUGAUGGCUUUGCAUUCCCUACAUGAAAUCUUCCACAGGACAAAUCUCUUCCAAAGCUAAGCAUCAUCGUGAAGUGACUUAAGUAGCUGGCGUUGUUUCGUGGAUGAGGAAACUGUGUGGCCCAGUGGUUCCCUUUUCAUCUUAGCUGCCCUGAAACUCUAAAUCAGAUCUGUGUGUCUGGCCAAGAAUGGUGCUCUGUGGUAGAGGAUUUGCUUUGGCUAAUUAGAGACCCUGGGUUCAAUCCCCAGGACCACACACACACAAAAAAAAAAAAAGAUUAAAAAAAAAAAAAAAGACUAAGAUUGAGUGCCCAGGGAUGAAGUGGGAGCCUGUAUAUCUGCAUUCUGGUUUCCUCCCUGGUCCAAAUUGGGAGGAAAACAUUUGGGUUUUGCUCGUUCAGAUUCAUGUAUAAAAGUUUGUCUCUGUACUUGGAGCAGUCCACUCAAGUUGUAUGGAGGAAAGCAAUGGUGAAUUUACUUAGGAUGGCUAUCUAAUGCAUACAGUGUAGCCCUGUGCCCUCAUGGCUAUCUAAUGCACACACAAUGUAGCCUAUGCCCUCACUUCAGGCUGGGAAGGCCCUGUGUGUCUAAUGACUUCUCCAGGGUCUAGUAAGAGCAAGAGGCCUGAGUUACCUGCAGAGAAGUUUCAAUGGUAGCUUAGCUACAGGAUGCCACUGUUUUUUGCCUUUCCUUCUGAAAGAGAUGGAAAGUCUCAAGUUCCCCAAGCCACUCAGUUGCUCUCAUCUCUCUCAAUGCUCUCUUCCAGUAAUCUUGAAUUUCAGAGAAUAUUUAUAUACCAUAGUCUUAUAACUCCAUUCUACCUCACAGAUUAAUAAUCUGAUUAUGGGGCUGGAGAGAUGGCUCAGCGGCUAAGAUUACUGACUGCUCUUCCGAAGGUCAUGGGUUCAAAUCCCAGCAACCACAUGGUGGCUUACAACCAUCCUCAAUGAGAUCUGUCGCCCUCUUCUGGAGUGUCUGAAGACAACUACAGUGUACUUACAAAUAAUAAAUCUUUUUAAAAUAUAA
rnacentral:lncRNA from 1 species